GUCCGCUUCUGAACCUGACGAACGGUUGGCUCGAUGGCAAUAUGAACACAAAUGGGUCGCAGAAGAAACGUAUCAACUGUAACCAACGACACGUGGAAGGGAACAAGGCAAAUGUUACAAUGUGUAUCAACGGAUAAUGGACGCCAAAACCUAAAUGCAUAGUCAAUGAUUGGCGUCUGUUUAUUGGCGUGCCUAAGAUCGGUGGCGACAUACUGGACUCUUGGACAAAUGGCACACAUUCAACAAAUCGGCUAGAUAAAUGCUUCGACGAGAAUGCGACUAGAUGCAUCCAGCAUUUUCGCGACCCGUUUGUCGAUAGAUGGAAUACUAUAGGAGUUCAAAAAGUGAACGUGUCGCUGCAUAAAAACGGGAAGUCAGCUGCCUUUGUGUUGUUCAAUGCGACAGGAACAACUGUGACUUCAUGGUUCGACAAGUCAAGGAUAAUUGACUCUUCGUGGAACCUCCACGCAUCAUCACAUAUGGAACUCUUUAGUAUGGAAGGGAGACAUCUAAGGCGCUUCUAUAUAGUCGAACGUGAAGGUAACUGCACAAAUCAUAAGAUAUUCAUGAUGGCGAUGGCAGAAAAAGGUCUAUACUUGUGACUACGCAAAAGUUGGUCCCUACCCACAAUACAUGUAUUCCACUCUCCCAGAUGGUGCCAUACCAGCCGA